AGAGUUUGAUCAUGGCUCAGAGCGAACGCUAGCGGCGGGCCUAACACAUGCAAGUCGAGCGCGUAGCUUCGGCUACGAGCGGCGAACGGGUGAGUAACACGUAGGUCAUCUACCCUUUGGUGGGGGAUAACCCGAGGAAACUCGGGCUAAUACCGCAUAUGGUCUCCGGAUCAAAGCCUUCGGGCGCCAGAGGAUGAGCCUGCGUCGCAUUACCUAGUUGGUAGGGUAAUGGCCUACCAAGGGGACGAUGCGUAGCUGGUCUGAGAGGAUGAUCAGCCACACUGGGACUGAGACACGGCCCAGACUCCUACGGGAGGCAGCAGUGGGGAAUAUUGCGCAAUGGGGGAAACCCUGACGCAGCCACGCCGCGUGGGUGAUGAAGGCCUUCGGGUUGUAAAGCCCUGUCGGGAGGGAAGAAGUUCUGACGGUACCUCCCAAGAAAGCACCGGCUAACCCUGUGCCAGCAGCCGCGGUA
rnacentral:rRNA from 1 species